rnacentral:rRNA from 1 species
GAUGAACGCUGGCGGCGCGCCUAACACAUGCAAGUCGAACGGAGUGGCGAACGGCAGAGGAACACGUGGGCAACCUUCCCUCCUCUUGGGGAUAGCCUCGGGAAACCGGGAUAAUCCCCGAUAGAGCAGGAUGGGCCGCGGCCUGUUAGCUUGUAGGUGGGGGAGCGGCCUACCAAGGCAAUGAUGGGUAGCUGGGUUGAGAGACCGACCAGCCAGAUGUGGAUUGAGGCACGGCCCAGACUCCAACGGGAGGCAGCAGUGGGGAAUCGUGCACAAUGGGCGAAAGCCUGAUGCAGCGACGCCGGGUGCGGGAGGAAGGCCUUCGGGUUGUAAACCGCUUUCAGCAGGGACGCGGUACCUGCAGAAGAAGCCCCGGCUAACUACGUGCCAGCAGCCGCGGUAAUAC